rnacentral:rRNA from 1 species
UACGUAGGGUGCAAGCGUUAAUCGGAAUUACUGGGCGUAAAGCGUGCGCAGGCGGCUUUGCAAGACAGAUGUGAAAUCCCCGGGCUUAACCUGGGAACUGCAUUUGUGACUGCAUGGCUGGAGUGCGGCAGAGGGGGAUGGAAUUCCGCGUGUAGCAGUGAAAUGCGUAGAGAUGCGGAGGAACACCGAUGGCGAAGGCAGCCCCCUGGGCUAAGACUGACGCUGAGGCACGAAAGCGUGGGGAGCAAACAGG